CUGACUGCGCUCCAACUCGACUAAUAAAUCACGGGCAAAUAGUUAUAACGUGCCGUCGCUGGCGUUGUGACAGACAAACCCUCUCUGCAGAGAUAUAACGGAACUCCUGCCAUGUGUUCAGUAUGUGCGGAAUACAUAAAGGCUCUACCUUGAAUUAACCACUCGCUCUUUAAUGGAUCUUUGAGGAUCGCGAUUGACGCAGUGACGAGCUGCAGCUCUUUGUAUUACAAGGCCAAGAGGAAAUUUGUAAUUUUGUCUUCCCCCGUCCGAUACCUACAGUCUCUAAGAAAAUGUAAAGGGGGUUCAUGGUGACAUAGGGACCCUGGUUUUGGUUACGGAGAGACUGCAAGGCUCUUGCUUCGCUGUGCGAAAGAGAUCCAUAUCUAUCAGCUCCUCCCACUCAUGCACACUAAGCUUAUCUGACUCAUCACCACGAUAGACUGGGGGCUCUUUUACUUCACUCUGCACAACUAGCUUCACUCCAGUCCGGUUAAGUGAAGGGAAAGUCCAACUACUGAUGGUGGAUCUCAGACAUGCAUGUGAUCACUUGAGAGUUUAACCGGAACAGCCAGGGGAGCACCUCUGGGCACAUAAAUGAGACUAAAAUGGUGAAAGAGAAGAAGAGACAAGAGGAUGAAAGCCAUCAACAAUGCUAUGCCUUGGGGAAAUAAACACAUGCAAUUGGUGAAGCACUAAGACCCAGCCCUAGCAGUCCACUAUAGU